GGGUUGUGAGGUUAAGCGACUAAGCGUACACGGUGGAUGCCCUGGCAGUCAGAGGCGAUGAAGGGCGUGCUAAUCUGCGAUAAGCGCCGGUAAGGUGAUAUGAACCGUUAUAACCGGCGAUACCCGAAUGGGGAAACCCAGUGUGAUUCGUCACACUAUCAUUAACUGAAUCCAUAGGUUAAUGAGGCGAACCGGGGGAACUGAAACAUCUAAGUACCCCGAGGAAAAGAAAUCAACCGAGAUUCCCCCAGUAGCGGCGAGCGAACGGGGAGGAGCCCAGAGCCUGAAUCAGCAUGUGUGUUAGUGGAAGCGUCUGGAAAGGCGCGCGAUACAGGGUGACAGCCCCGUACACAAAAGCGCAUGUGCUGUGAGCUCGAUGAGUAGGGCGGGACACGUGGUAUCCUGUCUGAAUAUGGGGGGACCAUCCUCCAAGGCUAAAUACUCCUGACUGACCGAUAGUGAACCAGUACCGUGAGGGAAAGGCGAAAAGAACCCCGGCGAGG
rnacentral:rRNA from 1 species